rnacentral:rRNA from 1 species
GAUGAACGCUGGCGGCGUGCCUAAUACAUGCAAGUCGAGCGAAUGGAUUAAGAGCUUGCUCUUAUGAAGUUAGCGGCGGACGGGUGAGCAACACGUGGGUAACCUGCCCAUAAGACUGGGAUAACUCCGGGAGACCGGGGCUAAUACCGGAUAAUAUUUUGAACUGCAUGGUUCAAAAUUGAAAGGCGGCUUCGGCUGUCACUUAUGGAUGGACCCGCGUCGCAUUAGCUAGUUGGUGAGGUAACGGCUCACCAAGGCAACGAUGCGUAGCCGACCUGAGAGGGUGAUCGGCCACACUGGGACUGAGACACGGCCCAGACUCCUACGGGAGGCAGCAGUAGGGAAUCUUCCGCAAUGGACGAAAGUCUGACGGAGCAACGCCGCGUGAGUGAUGAAGGCUUUCGGGUCGUAAAACUCCGUUGUUAGGGAAGAACAAGUGCUAGUUGAAUAAGCUGGCACCUUGACGGUACCUAACCAGAAAGCCACGGCUAACUACGUGCCAGCAGCCGCGGUAA